AGAACAUGGUGGUGUUCCAGAAGCCAAGAGAAGGGUGUGCUGAAAAAGAGCUGGCCAAAUGUCACAGAGUUAGAAGCCGGACAUGUCACAGUAGAAACAAUUAUUCCGAGAGUGGCCACUUAGGGGCUCCUCUGGAGUAUCAGCUUCCAGCAUUUCCCUGCAGCAACGGACAACUGUCUGGUAUAGGAUGCAACAGAAGGAAGACUCACUGCUCAAGUUUCCCAGACGUUUGCUCAGUUCGAGGCCAUCACCACUGCAUUUGGAGCAAGCAAGGCAUCUCAAAAGUUCAGGACUCCUUUGUUGUGAGGGAUAGACAGCAGGAGACGACCACAUGCUGCUUCCCUGACAUAAAGUGAUUUGGGGACUUCUUGGAUGUUGCGUAUUGCACUGAUGGCUUCACUUUAAGAAAACUCAAUAAUGAAAAAAAUAAAUGGAAAUCUAAAUUCUUGAGA